rnacentral:rRNA from 1 species
UACGGAGGGUGCGAGCGUUAAUCGGAAUUACUGGGCGUAAAGGGUGCGUAGGUGGUUGAGUAAGUUAGAUGUAAAAACCCUGGGCUUAACCUGGGACUGAGAUUUAAUACUGUUCAACUUGAGUAUGGGAGAGGGUAGUGGAAUUUCCGGUGUAGCGGUGAAAUGCGUAGAGAUCGGAAGGAACACCAGUGGCGAAGGCGGCUACCUGGCCUAAUACUGACACUGAGGCACGAAAGCGUGGGGAGCAAACAGG